UUAAGCGACUAAGCGUACACGGUGGAUGCCCUGGCAGUCAGAGGCGAUGAAGGGCGUGCUAAUCUGCGAUAAGCGCCGGUAAGGUGAUAUGAACCGUUAUAACCGGCGAUACCCGAAUGGGGAAACCCAGUGUGACUCGUCACACUAUCAUUAACUGAAUCCAUAGGUUAAUGAGGCGAACCGGGGGAACUGAAACAUCUAAGUACCCCGAGGAAAAGAAAUCAACCGAGAUUCCCCCAGUAGCGGCGAGCGAACGGGGAGGAGCCCAGAGCCUGAAUCAGCAUGUGUGUUAGUGGAAGCGUCUGGAAAGGCGCGCGAUACAGGGUGACAGCCCCGUACACAAAAGCGCAUGUGCUGUGAGUUCGAUGAGUAGGGCGGGACACGUGGUAUCCUGUCUGAAUAUGGGGGGACCAUCCUCCAAGGCUAAAUACUCCUGACUGACCGAUAGUGAACCAGUACCGUGAGGGAAAGGCGAAAAGAACCCCGGCGAGGGGAGUGAAAAAGAACCUGAAACCGUGUACGUACAAGCAGUGGGAGCCCCACCACUAAGCCAGUGGUGAACUCCACAUACGCAUCCUUUGCUGAGGAUACGGUUAACGGAGCGAAAGCGACGUUCAACCGCAAAAGAAGCAGAGGGGGCUUAGUGGUGGGGUGACUGCGUACCUUUUGUAUAAUGGGUCAGCGACUUAUAUUCUGUAGCAAGGUUAACCGAAUAGGGGAGCCGGAGGGAAACCGAGUCUUAACCGGGCGUUAAGUUGCAGGGUAUAGACCCGAAACCCGGUGAUCUAGCCAUGGGCAGGUUGAAGGUUGGGUAACACUAACUGGAGGACCGAACCGACUAAUGUUGAAAAAUUAGCGGAUGACCUGUGGCUGGGGGUGAAAGGCCAAUCAAACCGGGAGAUAGCUGGUUCUCCCCGAAAGCUAUUUAGGUAGCGCCUCGUGAAUUCAUCUCCGGGGGUAGAGCACUGUUUCGGCUAGGGGGCCAUCCCGGCUUACCAACCCGAUGCAAACUGCGAAUACCGGAGAAUGUUAUCACGGGAGACACACGGCGGGUGCUAACGUCCGUCGUGAAGAGGGAAACAACCCAGACCGCCAGCUAAGGUCCCAAAGUCAUGGUUAAGUGGGAAACGAUGUGGGAAGGCCCAGACAGCCAGGAUGUUGGCUUAGAAGCAGCCAUCAUUUAAAGAAAGCGUAAUAGCUCACUGGUCGAGUCGGCCUGCGCGGAAGAUGUAACGGGGCUAAACCAUGCACCGAAGCUGCGGCAGCGAACGUAUCACUUAAAGCGAUUCAGCGGGUUACGAUUGACGGAGCGAAGCGACGUCAAAGCGUAUACAAAGUCGAGUCGGUUUAAGGAUACGUUCGUUGGGUAGGGGAGCGUUCUGUAAGCCUGCGAAGGUGGCCUGUGAGGGUUGCUGGAGGUAUCAGAAGUGCGAAUGCUGACAUAAGUAACGAUAAAGCGGGUGAAAAGCCCGCUCGCCGGAAGACCAAGGGUUCCUGUCCAACGUUAAUCGGGGCAGGGUGAGUCGACCCCUAAGGCGAGGCCGAAAGGCGUAGUCGAUGGGAAACGGGUUAAUAUUCCCGUACUUGGUGUUACUGCGAAGGGGGGGACGGAGAAGGCUAUGUUGGCCGGGCGACGGUUGUCCCGGUUUAAGCGUGUAGGUGUGUGUUCCAGGUAAAUCCGGUUCACUUUAACACUGAGGCGUGAUGACGAGGCACUACGGUGCUGAAGCAACAAAUGCCCUGCUUCCAGGAAAAGCCUCUAAGCAUCAGGUAACAUCAAAUCGUACCCCAAACCGACACAGGUGGUCAGGUAGAGAAUACCAAGGCGCUUGAGAGAACUCGGGUGAAGGAACUAGGCAAAAUGGUGCCGUAACUUCGGGAGAAGGCACGCUGACACGUAGGUGAAGUGAUUUACUCAUGGAGCUGAAGUCAGUCGAAGAUACCAGCUGGCUGCAACUGUUUAUUAAAAACACAGCACUGUGCAAACACGAAAGUGGACGUAUACGGUGUGACGCCUGCCCGGUGCCGGAAGGUUAAUUGAUGGGGUCAGCGCAAGCGAAGCUCCUGAUCGAAGCCCCGGUAAACGGCGGCCGUAACUAUAACGGUCCUAAGGUAGCGAAAUUCCUUGUCGGGUAAGUUCCGACCUGCACGAAUGGCGUAAUGAUGGCCAGGCUGUCUCCACCCGAGACUCAGUGAAAUUGAACUCGCUGUGAAGAUGCAGUGUACCCGCGGCAAGACGGAAAGACCCCGUGAACCUUUACUAUAGCUUGACACUGAACAUUGAGCCUUGAUGUGUAGGAUAGGUGGGAGGCUUUGAAGUGUGGACGCCAGUCUGCAUGGAGCCGACCUUGAAAUACCACCCUUUAAUGUUUGAUGUUCUAACGUGGACCCGUAAUCCGGGUUGCGGACAGUGUCUGGUGGGUAGUUUGACUGGGGCGGUCUCCUCCUAAAGAGUAACGGAGGAGCACGAAGGUUGGCUAAUCCUGGUCGGACAUCAGGAGGUUAGUGCAAUGGCAUAAGCCAGCUUGACUGCGAGCGUGACGGCGCGAGCAGGUGCGAAAGCAGGUCAUAGUGAUCCGGUGGUUCUGAAUGGAAGGGCCAUCGCUCAACGGAUAAAAGGUACUCCGGGGAUAACAGGCUGAUACCGCCCAAGAGUUCAUAUCGACGGCGGUGUUUGGCACCUCGAUGUCGGCUCAUCACAUCCUGGGGCUGAAGUAGGUCCCAAGGGUAUGGCUGUUCGCCAUUUAAAGUGGUACGCGAGCUGGGUUUAGAACGUCGUGAGACAGUUCGGUCCCUAUCUGCCGUGGGCGCUGGAGAACUGAGGGGGGCUGCUCCUAGUACGAGAGGACCGGAGUGGACGCAUCACUGGUGUUCGGGUUGUCAUGCCAAUGGCACUGCCCGGUAGCUAAAUGCGGAAGAGAUAAGUGCUGAAAGCAUCUAAGCACGAAACUUGCCCCGAGAUGAGUUCUCCCUGAGACUUAGAGUCUCCUGAAGGAACGUUGAAGACGACGACGUUGAUAGGCCGGGUGUGUAAGCGCAGCGAUGCGUUGAGCUAACCGGUACUAAUGAACCGUGAGGCUUAACCUU
rnacentral:rRNA from 1 species